rnacentral:rRNA from 1 species
AACGAACGCUGGCGGCAGGCCUAACACAUGCAAGUCGAGCGAGCAUUUCGGUGCUAGCGGCGGACGGGUGAGUAACGCGUGGGAACGUGCCCUUUUCUGCGGAAUAGUCCUGGGAAACUGGGGGUAAUACCGCAUACGCCCUUUUGGGGAAAGAUUUAUCGGAGAAGGAUCGGCCCGCGUUGGUUUAGGUAGUUGGUGGGGUAAUGGCCCACCAAGCCGACGAUCCAUAGCUGGUUUGAGAGGAUGAUCAGCCACACUGGGACUGAGACACGGCCCAGACUCCUACGGGAUGCAGCAGUGGGGAAUCUUAGACAAUGGGGGCAACCCUGAUCUAGCCAUGCCGCGUGAGUGAUGAAGGCCUUAGGGUUGUAAAGCUCUUUCAGCUGGGAAGAUAAUGACGGUACCAGCAGAAGAAGCCCCGGCUAACUCCGUG